rnacentral:rRNA from 1 species
CCUACGGGAGGCAGCAGUCGAGAAUUUUUCUCAAUGGGGGAAACCCUGAAGGAGCGACGCCGCGUGGAGGAUGAAGGCUUUCGGGUUGUAAACUCCUGUCAUUUGAGAACAAGGUGCGAGUAGUAACUAUACUCGCAUUGAUAGUAUCAGAAGAGGAAGGGACGGCUAACUCUGUGCCAGCAGCCGCGGUAAUACAGAGGUCCCAAGCGUUGUUCGGAUUCAUUGGGCGUAAAGGGUGCGUAGGUGGCGCCGUAAGUCAGGUGUGAAAUCUCGGGGCUUAACUCCGAAACUGCAUUUGAUACUGCGGUGCUUGAGGACUGGAGAGGAGACUGGAAUUUACGGUGUAGCAGUGAAAUGCGUAGAGAUCGUAAGGAAGACCAGUGGCGAAGGCGGGUCUCUGGACAGUUCCUGACACUGAGGCACGAAGGCCAGGGGAGCAAACGGGAUUAGAUACCCCGGUAGUCCUGGCAGUAAACGGUGCACGUUUUGGUGUGGGAGGAUUCGACCCCUUCUGCGCCGGAGCUAACGCGUUAAACGUGCCCGCCUGGGGAGUACCGUCGCAAGAUUAAAACUCAAAGAAAUUGACGGGGGCCCCCACAAGCGGUGGAGUAUUGUGGCUUAAUUCGAUGCAACGCGAAAAACCUUACCUGGGCUUGACAUGCAUCU